GGUGGAUCUCACUCAGUGGCAGGGUAAGAAUUUCUUUUUGAGGAGCUCCAGGUGGAUCCCACUCAGUGUCAGGGUAAGAAUUUCUUUUUUGAGGAGCUCCAGGCUGGAUCUCUCUCAGUGGCAGGGUAAGAAUUUCUUUUUUGAGGAGCUCCAGGGUGGAUCCCACUCAGUGUCAGGGUAAGAAUUUCUUUUUUGAGGAGCUCCAGGCUGGAUCUCUCUCAGUGGCAGAGGCAAGAAUUUCUUUUUGUACCAUUUCUGAUCUGUUCUCAGACACCCUCACACCUCUGCCCUGGGGGAUCAGACAUCUCCAGGUCUCUGUUUCAACAACAAAAAAAGAGAAAGAUUCUGCUCAGGAAGGAGGGAGGGAUCACAAUGAAGAGCCACCUCCCAGUGGGAGCCAGGAUUUCCCAGUGUCUCUGCUGGAAUGGGAUAAACAGCCCCUUCAAAAGGGAAAAGCUGACAGAACUGCAGCAAUUUUCCUAUUUCUGUGGGAAUAACUCUUCCAGCCUCCAAGCAAGUGCACAUCCAGAGGGAACAGCCACACCUGGCAGCAGGGAUGGGACUGAAAUGCCCAGGAACCGAGUGCAGCUGGAAAAUCCCUCUUGGGAAAUAAGGAAAUAACUGAAGGAAAUUACUUGACGAGUUCUGCACAACGAACACAUACAGUAGCAAGACUCCAGCACCACCUUGACAGAGUAUCUUUAAAAAAAAAAAACAACCCUCAAAGAACCCAAGAAAGAUUGAUUUUUACUUCCUAGUCAGCAGAAAGUAGCCACAACUUUGUUUUCCUUUAGGAAUUGGUUGGAUCCUACUCCUUUCCAAGCACCCGUGGGUGCCAUGUCUGCUCAGAGCUCUGGAUGCAUCCCAGGGCAGUAUCCCAGAUACCAGCCAGCAGUCGUUUUGUCCUUGCAAGAGAAAAAAGCAGGGGAAAAAAAAAAAAAAUCAAAGUGCUCCUAUGCAUUGUCAGGAAUUUCCAAGUCAAUGUGAAAUAGCAGUCCUCCAAUCAGCCCAAAGAGAGACACUAAUUCCACUGAAGUAGGUGCCACAAUGACCAAAGCUCAUUAAGUUGUGAAUAUACACCAGCCAUUCACAAUCCAAAACGAGACGGGGAGGGGGAGA